rnacentral:rRNA from 1 species
AGUGAACGCUGGCGGUAGGCCUAGCACAUGCAAGUCGAACGGCAGCACAGUAAGAGCUUGCUCUUACGGGUGGCGAGUGGCGGACGGGUGAGGAAUACAUCGGAAUCUACUUUUUCGUGGGGGAUAACGUAGGGAAACUUACGCUAAUACCGCAUACGACCUACGGGUGAAAGCAGGGGAUCUUCGGACCUUGCGCGAUUGAAUGAGCCGAUGUCGGAUUAGCUAGUUGGCGGGGUAAAGGCCCACCAAGGCGACGAUCCGUAGCUGGUCUGAGAGGAUGAUCAGCCACACUGGAACUGAGACACGGUCCAGACUCCUACGGGAGGCAGCAGUGGGGAAUAUUGGACAAUGGGCGCAAGCCUGAUCCAGCCAUACCGCGUGGGUGAAGAAGGCCUUCGGGUUGUAAAGCCCUUUUGUUAGGAAAGAAAAGCAGCAGGUUAAUACCCCGCUGUUCUGACGGUACCCAAAGAAUAAGCACCGGCUAACUUCGUG